rnacentral:rRNA from 1 species
UACGUAGGGGGCAAGCGUUGUCCGGAAUCAUUGGGCGUAAAGAGCGUGUAGGCGGCUCGGUAAGUCCGCUGUGAAAGUCCAGGGCUCAACCCUGGAAUGCCGGUGGAAACUGUCGAGCUAGAGUCCGGAAGAGGCGAGUGGAAUUCCUGGUGUAGCGGUGAAAUGCGCAGAUAUCAGGAGGAACACCAAUGGCGAAGGCAGCUCGCUGGGACGGUACUGACGCUGAGACGCGAAAGCGUGGGAGCAAACAGGAUUAGAAACCCGAGGU